rnacentral:lncRNA from 1 species
CCAGUUUAAUAGGUGGUUCAUAUUAAAGUAGCACAUUUGUCUCGAGGACAAGCAGCAGCCAUCUAAUAUACCAGGAUUUUAAUUGGUAUAUUAGGGAGUCUAAAUACAGGAGCGCGAGGCUCGCAAAGUAAAUCAUAUGGUAUAUGAAUAUGUGUGCA